CGCACCUUGCGCCCCUUGGUACUCCGAGGGGCAUGCCUGUUUGAGUGUCAUCAGACCAUCAACCCGAUAGGGGCUUUCGUGUCCUCCUAUCGGCGCUUGGAGCUUGCGGCGUGCGGGGUGAGACUCUCGCAAGAGUGCUUUCCCCGCUCCUUGCAGAAUACAUCAGCGGAUGCUCACCCUCAAUCCGGCCUUGGCGUGAUAACUGUCUACGUCCUGGUCUGGAUGGUGCGAUGGGUUGACUUCUGCUUCUAACGGUCGCCAACUGUGCGACGAACUAUUGACGACUUGACCUCAAAUCAGGUAGGAUUACCCGCUGAACUUAA
rnacentral:misc_RNA from 1 species